UGGCGGACGGGUGAGUAAUGCGUAGGAAUCUGUCCAUCAGCGGGGGACAACCCGGGGAAACCCGGGCUAAUACCGCGUACGCCCUACGGGGGAAAGCAUGGGACUUUCGGGCCAUGUGCUGAUGGGUGAGCCUACGUUGGAUUAGCUAGUUGGUAGGGUAAAGGCCUACCAAGGCGAUGAUCCAUAGCUGUUCUGAGAGGAAGAUCAGCCACACUGGAACUGAGACACGGUCCAGACUCCUACGGGAGGCAGCAGUGGGGAAUAUUGGACAAUGGGCGCAAGCCUGAUCCAGCAAUGCCGCGUGUGUGAAGAAGGCCUGCGGGUUGUAAAGCACUUUCACNGGGGAAGAAGGGUUUGGUUCUAACAGGGCCAAGCAUUGACGGUACCCGGAGAAGAAGCA
rnacentral:rRNA from 1 species